UACGGGGGGUGCAAGCGUUGUCCGGAUUUACUGGGCGUAAAGGGCGCGUAGGCGGUUGUAUCAGUCGGGCUUAUAAGUGCGGGGCUCAACCCCGUGAUGGGUUCGGGACGGUAUGACUGGGGCGCGGUCGAGGGAGACGGAAUGCCGGGUGUAGUGGUGAAAUGCGCAGAUAUCAGGAGGAACACCAAUGGCGAAGGCAGCUCGCUGGGACGGUACUGACGCUGAGACGCGAAAGCGUGGGGAGCAAACAGG
rnacentral:rRNA from 1 species